UACGAAGGGAGCUAGCGUUGUUCGGAAUCACUGGGCGUAAAGCGCACGUAGGCGGAUGUGUCAGUCAGGGGUGAAAUCCCGGAGCUCAACUUCGGAACUGCCUUUGAUACAGCACGUCUUGAGUCCGAUAGAGGUGGGUGGAAUUCCUAGUGUAGAGGUGAAAUUCGUAGAUAUUAGGAAGAACACCGGUGGCGAAGGCGGCC
rnacentral:rRNA from 1 species